GGGGCCCGCACAAGCGGUGGAGCAUGUGGUUUAAUUCGACGCAACGCGAAGAACCUUACCUGGGCUUGACAUCCCGAUCGCACCUUUUGGAAACUUAAGGGUCAGUUCGGCUGGAUCGGUGACAGGUGCUGCAUGGCUGUCGUCAGCUCGUGUCGUGAGAUGUUGGGUUAAGUCCCGCAACGAGCGCAACCCUCGUCCUUAGUUGCCAGCAUUAAGUUGGGCACUCUAAGGAGACUGCCGGUGUUAAACCGGAGAAGCGGGGAUGACGUCAAGUCAGCAUGGCCCUUACGUCCAGGGCUACACACGUGCUACAAUGGUUGGUACAACGAGUUGCGAGUCGGUGACGGCGAGCUAAUCUCUUAAAGCCAAUCUCAGUUCGGAUUGUAGGCUGCAACUCGCCUACAUGAAGUCGGAAUCGCUAGUAAUCGCGGAUCAGCACGCCGCGGUGAAUACGUUCCCGGGCCUU
rnacentral:rRNA from 1 species